GGGGCCAUCGUCUAAUGGUUAGGACGCCAGGUUUUCAUCCUGGCAAUGGGGGUUCGAUUCCCCCUGGCCCUA
rnacentral:tRNA from 1 species